rnacentral:rRNA from 1 species
AGUGAACGCUGGCGGUAGGCCUAACACAUGCAAGUCGAACGGCAGCACAGUAAGAGCUUGCUCUUACGGGUGGCGAGUGGCGGACGGGUGAGGAAUACAUCAGAAUCUACUUUUUCGUGGGGGAUAACGUAGGGAAACUUACGCUAAUACCGCAUACGACCUACGGGUGAAAGCAGGGGAUCUUCGGACCUUGCGCGAUUGAAUGAGCCGAUGUCGGAUUAGCUAGUUGGCGGGGUAAAGGCCCACCAAGGCGACGAUCCGUAGCUGGUCUGAGAGGAUGAUCAGCCACACUGGAACUGAGACACGGUCCAGACUCCUACGGGAGGCAGCAGUGGGGAAUAUUGGACAAUGGGCGCAAGCCUGAUCCAGCCAUACCGCGUGGGUGAAGAAGGCCUUCGGGUUGUAAAGCCCUUUUGUUGGGAAAGAAAAGCAGCAGGUUAAUACCCCGCUGUUCUGACGGUACCCAAAGAACAAGCACCGGCUAACUUCGUG